GAGAUAGAAGAGAAGGUUAGUAAGCUAGGGAGGGACGGAUAAGAGAGAGAACAGGGUAGUAGCUGGAUAAGUGACUGGAGAAAGAGAGAGAAGGGUAGUAGCUAGGGACUGGAGAGAGAAAGAAGGGUAGUAGCUAGGGACUGGAGAGACAGAAGGGUAAGUACUAGGGACUGGAGAGAUAGAAGAGAGAGAGAGAGAGAGAGAAGAGAGU
rnacentral:lncRNA from 1 species